ACAAAACAUGGUUUCCACUUGAGCUCAUGAAGGCCCUUAAAUCUGAAAGAAAACUGCUUCUUUGACUCAGGGGAAACAGGAAGUGUCCUAUUCCCAACCAUGAGAAACAGAGCUGAGAAGUUCCCAGGAAUGAGAAAGCUAUAGACUAGAAAUCCUGAAGAAAGUCUGCUACAGUCUUCUUAGAAGACUCUGCUGCUGGUUUAAGAACCUUUGUCUGUUUUGUUUUUCCUUAAAUGUAAUUACCUGCAGCUAAAGGAGCCUGUGGAUGGGCAAAGGUGAAGGCUUAAGAGGCAAGCAAGCCAAACAGGGUAGGAAGUAACUCUGAGGGAAGAAGGAGUGUAUGGCUACUAAAUUAGUUAGGGUAUUGAGGCUGGAGUCUGUAGUGGAGAAAGGUAGUGAUUUUCCUUCAUCUCAGCUGGGCCUCGUACAGAGUGAGUCAACACCCUUACAGACAAGGGGUGGAGGAUCACUUGACUCCUAUUACAAAAAAGCAGGUCUGAAGGGAUUAUUUGUGGAAGGCCUAUGUAUUUUAUGUUUGGACUUUGUCCUUUUCUGGAAAGGCAGGACUCUUACUUUUGGUAGAAGGCCAAACCACAAAACCAACCUGUUGAAGACUAUCUCUAGAAGAACAGACUUGAGGCACAGUGGGGAAACUGAGAUACAACUGUACUGGAGGUAUCGGAGUGGGCCUGGAUGGAUUCUUAGCAUUGGACCAAACCUUGCCCUUGGAGGUUCAUUUGUGUCUGACACUGAAGUCCAUGGAACUUGCCCUCAGAUGCUGUCUGUCUUCUCAGCACUCUUGCUGCUGAGACACUUAGUGCUGACACCUCUGAGGCUAGAAAAGCUGGAACCUUCCCAUCCCGUAUUACUGGAAUUCUUGGCAAUGGAAUUUACUCCAGCUAUAACUGUUCACAUGACAAGUAAAGGAGAAUUCCCAAAAUAACUUUCCCGUGAACGUGUAAUAGGAAGAGUUUGAAGAGAAAAGCUUGAAAACAUCAACCCUAAAGGCUCAGAAAACAGAAGCAUCUUGAGUGAAACAGAAGACCUGCCAACCACAGUGCUGACAUAGAUAUUCUGCAUCCAUCUUCCAUGCUUUAAUAAAUCAACAAUGUCAGAGGAAUUUCAAGCAGGAUCAUUAAUAUGAUUCACUUGUAUAGAUUGGGGAGAAGCUGAAUCUCCAGGAAGAAAGCUCUGGGAGGUGUUCUUUUGUACAAGAAGCUGAAAAGAACUCUGCAGAUCCCAGAAAAGGGCCUAGAAGAGACAGGCUACUGCAGGAAGUAGUCCAGGGAGGCGGCAGAAGAGAGAAGCAGACCUUAGCAGCUUGCCAUAGAGUGCCUUGGCUGGAACUCAUAGUAAAGGGACAGCCUGUGUUCCUGUGCUGGCCACCAAGGAAGAUGGUGUUAAACCCCUCCUGAUACAAGGGCAAAGGUAUGUGAAGAUGACUGGUCCCAGGGUCGGGGCUGAAAGUCUGGAAUAAGGUUUUAAACAAUUGUGUCUGGGACUUUCUGUCCCACCAGAAGAGGUGGAAAUGAACGUGACCAGACCCGAGGGCCAAGUCAUGAGAAAAAGCAGACCACUGCAGAAUG